AUUUAAAAAAUUUUUUUUUUUUUGUGCUAACUUUUUAUUUUUGAAUUAGUAUGCAAGAAUGGCAAAUCUGUAUAUUCCUCAUGUAACUGAAUUAUCUGUAUGUUUUUACACAUGAUAUAGUAAACAUUGCACAUUGUAUUUUUAAUAUACUUUUCAGUUAAUAUAUAAUUAUAUCAUUUGGUUUAAAUACAGUAGAACAUUUAUAUAACAAAUGCUCUCAGGGACACAGCCAGAUUCUUUUUUUCAAUUUAUAAAAAAAAAACAAAUGGUUAUUAGCCCAAAAGAUAUUUGAACUGGUUAAGAGAUGUUUUUAUUUGAAAAAAAAAACAACAACUUUA